rnacentral:rRNA from 1 species
UACGAAGGGGCUAGCGUUGCUCGGAAUUACUGGGCGUAAAGCGCACGUAGGCGGCUUCUAAGUCGGGGGUGAAAUCCUGGAGCUCAACUCCAGAACUGCCUUCGAUACUGGAAGCUCGAGUCCGGGAGAGGUGAGUGGAACUGCGAGUGUAGAGGUGAAAUUCGUAGAUAUUCGCAAGAACACCAGUGGCGAAGGCGGCUCACUGGCCCGGUACUGACGCUGAGGUGCGAAAGCGUGGGGAGCAAACAGG